rnacentral:lncRNA from 1 species
UAGGGUAGAGGAGAGGAUUCAAAGAUUCGGGAAUUAGGGAGGUUAAGAAAAAGGGAGGAUACAAAAUUUUUGGGUAGGGGUCAGAGAAGAAACUUGUGGUGAUCAAUGCGGAAAGGUCGAUGUUUUUUAUUGGUGAAUCGAGGUUUUAAUGAAAUAGGUGUGAUUACUCUUGACUGUUUUGUGAAAUCAAAGUUACGUUUGUGAUUGAAGAAUUAAAAGGAUGUCUAUAGGAUUGAGUAUGCGGAGUGAAUGAAAAUUUUUGAAUUAAUCUAACAAGACAGUCAGUGGAUACAAGGUCGUGAGUAUAAAGUGGUAUCGGAGAUUAGCAGAUUGGGUUGUUCG